rnacentral:tmRNA from 1 species
AUUUAAUGCCGUCAAAAACGGCAACAUAGAAUUACUUGUUGACAAUAAACGCAAUAGGUAUACUGGACGAGGGUGCAACUCCCUCCACCUCCACCAUAAACACAUUAUGGUCCUAGAUGAAGGAAAUUAAUGUGUUUAUGGGGGGUGUGGUAGGUUCGACAGGUACUAAAAGGUUUAUAAGAGAGUAAUAGUUGGCGAACUCAUACGCAUUUUUAAAUGGCGAAGAUAAUUUUGCCCUUGCAGCCUAGUAUCUAGGCUACUGAGUUUUGUGGAUUGUACUUGGAAACAGAAACAAUCCACGCUUUACAAAUUUAACAACAAGUGAUAUAUUAGUAAUAU